GACGAACGCUGGCGGCGUGCUUAACACAUGCAAGUCGAACGGUAAGGCUCCAGCUUGCCGGGGUCCACGAGUGGCGAACGGGUGAGUAACACGUGGGUGACCUGCCCUGCACUUCGGGAUAAGCCUGGGAAACUGGGUCUAAUACCGGAUAGGACCGCACCGUGAGGGUGUGGUGGAAAGUUUUUUCGGUGUGGGAUGGGCCCGCGGCCUAUCAGCUUGUUGGUGGGGUAAUGGCCUACCAAGGCGGCGACGGGUAGCCGGCCUGAGAGGGUGGACGGCCACAUUGGGACUGAGACACGGCCCAGACUCCUACGGGAGGCAGCAGUGGGGAAUAUUGCACAAUGGGCGGAAGCCUGAUGCAGCGACGCCGCGUGGGGGAUGACGGCCUUCGGGUUGUAAACUCCUUUCACCAUUGACGAAGGGUUUCUGACGGUAGAUGGAGAAGAAGCACCGGCUAACUACGUG
rnacentral:rRNA from 1 species